CUCAAUGAUGAAACACAACCUUUUUAUUUAUUUUCUGGUACCUCUUAUGUCAGAAGUUGGCCCUUGUGGUCUUCUUCGAUGAUCUUAAUGGACUUCUGAUC
rnacentral:snoRNA from 1 species